rnacentral:rRNA from 1 species
UAGGGAAUCUUCGGCAAUGGACGGAAGUCUGACCGAGCAACGCCGCNUGAGUGAAGAAGGUUUUCGGAUCGUAAAGCUCUGUUGUAAGAGAAGAACGAGUGUGAGAGUGGAAAGUUCACACUGUGACGGUAUCUUACCAGAAAGGGACGGCUAACUACGUGCCAGCAGCCGCGGUAAUACGUAGGUCCCGAGCGUUGUCCGGAUUUAUUGGGCGUAAAGCGAGCGCAGGCGGUUAGAUAAGUCUGAAGUUAAAGGCUGUGGCUUAACCAUAGUACGCUUUGGAAACUGUUUAACUUGAGUGCAAGAGGGGAGAGUGGAAUUCCAUGUGUAGCGGUGAAAUGCGUAGAUAUAUGGAGGAACACCGGUGGCGAAAGCGGCUCUCUGGUCUGUAACUGACGCUGAGGCUCGAAAGCGUGGGGAGCGAACAGGAUUAGAUACCCUGGUAGUCCACGCCGUAAACGAUGAGUGCUAGGUGUUAGGUCCUUUCCGGGACUUAGUGCCGCAGCUAACGCAUUAAGCACUCCGCCUGGGGAGUACGACCGCAAGGUUG